CAGAGUAGGAGCUUAUGCGUGAAGUGCCUUCUGAACGGGGAGUUGUCAGAGGGACGAAAGUGUUAACUGCGGUGUAAGCUUCGCAUCCCACUGU
rnacentral:ncRNA from 1 species